UACGGGGGGGGCAAGCGUUGUUCGGAAUUACUGGGCGUAAAGGGCUUGUAGGCGGCCAACUAAGUCAGACGUGAAAUCCCUCGGCUUAACCGGGGAACUGCAUCUGAUACUGGAUGGCUUGAGUUCGGGAGAGGGAUGCAGAAUUCCAGGUGUAGCGGUGAAAUGCGUAGAUAUCUGGAGGAACACCGGUGGCGAAGGCGGCAUCCUGGACCGACACUGACGCUGAGGAGCGAAAGCCAGGGGAGCAAACGGG
rnacentral:rRNA from 1 species